AUUGAACGCUGGCGGCAUGCCUUACACAUGCAAGUCGAACGGCAGCGCGGACCUCGGUCUGGCGGCGAGUGGCGAACGGGUGAGUAAUGUAUCGGAACGUACCAUUCAGUGGGGGAUAACGCAGCGAAAGUUGCGCUAAUACCGCAUAUUCUGUGCGCAGGAAAGCAGGGGAUCGCAAGACCUUGCGCUGAUUGAGCGGCCGAUAUCAGAUUAGCUAGUUGGUGAGGUAAAGGCUCACCAAGGCGACGAUCUGUAGCGGGUCUGAGAGGAUGAUCCACAACCCUGGACCUGAGACACGGUCCAGACUCCUACGGGAGGCAGCAGUGGGGAAUUUUGGACAAUGGGCGCAAGCCUGAUCCAGCCAUGCCGCGUGAGUGAAGAAGGCCUUCGGGUUGUAAAGCUCUUUCGGCCGGGAAGAAAUCGUAUGGGUUAAUACCCUGUGCGGAUGACGGUACCGGCAUAAGAAGCACCGGCUAACUACGUGCCAGCCGCCGCCGUAAAAC
rnacentral:rRNA from 1 species